AGGACAAGAGCCAUCUGGUAGCUUUGCUUGCAAGACCAGAUUGAGAAGGCACCAGCAUGAAACCACAAAGGAGAAGAUGAAGCUGUAUUUCCGGAGGAAAAAAAAAGCAAAGCUUUCUACCCAAAGCUGAGCACCUUCUAGGAACACACAGCCUUCAAGAGAAGCCAGGGGCUCACCAUGUGAUGAGGAGUUUCCUUGGGCAAAGAACACAGAAUGCUACCAUCUCUGCUAAGGUGGAGUGCCACACUGCUGCUCUGUGUUCUGUAGGACUGUUGUCUGUGCUGUAUGGAGACCCCUGGAUGUUUCUAGUCCUGUUUUCUAACACAGUGACAUGCUCACGUUUGGCAGGUUAAUUGGUAGAGUUGUCAGCACAGCUGCCUUUUAUUGCCAAUAAACUCGGGUCCCUGAGA